rnacentral:rRNA from 1 species
GAUGAACGCUAGCUACAGGCUUAACACAUGCAAGUCGAGGGGAAACGAUAGAGAAAGCUUGCUUUUUCUAGGCGUCGACCGGCGCACGGGUGAGUAACGCGUAUCCAACCUGCCCAUCACUUGGGGAUAACCUUGCGAAGGUAAGACUAAUACCCAAUGAUAUCUCUAGAAGACAUCUGAAGGAGAUUAAAGAUUUAUCGGUGAUGGAUGGGGAUGCGUCUGAUUAGCUUGUUGGCGGGGUAACGGCCCACUAAGGCGACGAUCAGUAGGGGUUCUGAGAGGACGGUCCCCCACAUUGGAACUGAGACACGGUCCAAACUCCUACGAGAGGCAGCAGUGAGGAAUAUUGGUCAAUGGGCGAGAGCCUGAACCAGCCAAGUAGCGUGCAGGAUGACGGCCCUAUGGGUUGUAAACUGCUUUUAUAAGGGAAUAAAGUGAGCCUCGUGAGGCUUCUUGCAUGUACCUUAUGAAUAAGGACCGGCUAAUUCCGUGCCAGCCGCCGCGGUAA